GGGCCGGUCGUCUAGCGGGAGGAUGUCGCCUUCGCAAGGGCUAAUGUAGGGGCUCCGAGUACGGCGGAGGUCCCGGGUUCGAAUCCCGGCCGGUCCA
rfam:Thermofilum uzonense strain 1807-2, complete genome.